GAUGAACGCUAGCUACAGGCUUAACACAUGCAAGUCGAGGGGAAACGACAUCGAAAGCUUGCUUUUGAUGGGCGUCGACCGGCGCACGGGUGAGUAACGCGUAUCCAACCUGCCCAUCACUUGGGGAUAACCUUGCGAAAGUAAGACUAAUACCCAAUGAUAUCUCUAGAAGACAUCUGAAAGAGAUUAAAGAUUUAUCGGUGAUGGAUGGGGAUGCGUCUGAUUAGCUUGUUGGCGGGGUAACGGCCCACCAAGGCAACGAUCAGUAGGGGUUCUGAGAGGAAGGUCCCCCACAUUGGAACUGGGACACGGUCCAAACUCCUACGGGAGGCAGCAGUGAGGAAUAUUGGUCAAUGGGAGAGAGCCUGAACCAGCCAAGUAGCGUGCAGGAAGACGGCCCUAUGGGUUGUAAACUGCUUUUAUAAGGGAAUAAAGUGAGAGUCGUGACUCUUUUUGUAUGUACCUUAUGAAUAAGGACCGGCUAAUUCCGUG
rnacentral:rRNA from 1 species